rnacentral:rRNA from 1 species
GACGAACGCUGGCGGCGUGCUUAACACAUGCAAGUCGAACGGAAAGGCCCUGCUUUUGUGGGGUUCUCGAGUGGCGAACGGGUGAGUAACACGUGAGUAACCUGCCCUUGACUUUCGGAUAACUUCAGGAAACUGGGGCUCAUACCGGAUAUGAGCUCCUGCUGCAUGGUGUGGGUUGGAAAGUUUCGGCUGUUGUGGAUGGACUCGCGGCUUAUGAGCUUGUUGGUGGGGUAGUGGCUUACCAAGUCUUUGACGGGUAGCCUGCCUGAGAGGGUGAACGGGCACAAGGGGACUGAGAGACGGACCAGAAGGGUACGGGAGGCAGUAGGGGGGAAUAUGGCACAAUGGGCGGAAGCGUGAUGCAGCAACGCCGGGUGCGGGAUGAUGGCCUUCGGGUGGUAAACAGCUGUCGAAGGAGACGAAGAGUGAGUGACGGUAAUGGGUAAAGAAGCACCGGCUAACUACGUG